AAGACUUUAACCUUUCUCCUUUCCCCACUGAGUUAUUUCCUCGUGGAUAAUUAUCAUUUCAGUUUCCUCCCCAGUUGAUUAUCUAGACGGAACCACUCCCCUUUAAUUAUGUCCUCAUUGGGUUGAGUCUUGAUUGACCUUUUCUUUCUAAAUCUUACCUAGAUAGAUAUUUACGGUCCCCUAAGAGUCUAUUACCCAAUAAUUCGUGAUAUUCUUCUUGGUUUGCAGUUUGUUACUUCUUUCCCAAUACCCGGAGAAAAUACCCCCUUUUU
rnacentral:lncRNA from 1 species